rnacentral:rRNA from 1 species
AUGGAGCCGACCUUGAAAUACCACCCUUUAAUGUUUGAUGUUCUAACGUUGACCCGUAAUCCGGGUUGCGGACAGUGUCUGGUGGGUAGUUUGACUGGGGCGGUCUCCUCCUAAAGAGUAACGGAGGAGCACGAAGGUUGGCUAAUCCUGGUCGGACAUCAGGAGGUUAGUGCAAUGGCAUAAGCCAGCUUGACUGCGAGCGUGACGGCGCGAGCAGGUGCGAAAGCAGGUCAUAGUGAUCCGGUGGUUCUGAAUGGAAGGGCCAUCGCUCAACGGAUAAAAGGUACUCCGGGGAUAACAGGCUGAUACCGCCCAAGAGUUCAUAUCGACGGCGGUGUUUGGCACCUCGAUGUCGGCUCAUCACAUCCUGGGGCUGAAGUAGGUCCCAAGGGUAUGGCUGUUCGCCAUUUAAAGUGGUACGCGAGCUGGGUUUAGAACGUCGUGAGACAGUUCGGUCCCUAUCUGCCGUGGGCGCUGGAGAACUGAGGGGGGCUGCUCCUAGUACGAGAGGACCGGAGUGGACGCAUCACUGGUGUUCGGGUUGUCAUGCCAAUGGCACUGCCCGGUAGCUAAAUGCGGAAGAGAUAAGUGCUGAAAGCAUCUAAGCACGAAACUUGCCCCGAGAUGAGUUCUCCCUGACCCUUUAAGGGUCCUGAAGGAACGUUGAAGACGACGACGUUGAUAGGCCGGGUGUGU